GACUGGUCUGAAGGCAGUGAGUCAACUCAAUUGAUUAUUCACAGUCAGUUACGCAUCCAACUCCUUAUUCUACUCUUCCCCGCUUCUCACUACUGCAUUUGAUAUUUG
ensembl:misc_RNA Y_RNA Y RNA